UACCGUCUGUGGAACAUGGAAUCAAACCAGAAUAUGUUGGCAUAACAGGCCAGUCAAACCGGUUCUUCUGUAGAUCCAGAACCCGUCCAACCAGUCUGCAUCAAAGGCUAGCCCAACAAGCUGCAGCGGCUCAGCUCUGCUAAACUUGUACUGGGUAAGAUGGAGGAAGCACAUUUCAUCUUGUCUCUCCCACUGAAUAUAGCUAUAAAACCUGGACAAAAUACAUGGAGCAGAUAUUUCAGGACUCUGAACAGGAAAUGGUAUUAAGCAGAUGACAGAAGAAAAGGAGUUAAAACACCACCAAAUAGGGCAAGGCACUGACUUGAGGAUCACGGAGGUUAAGAAGGAGGAGGAAGGAACAGAUGCUUAUCUCAAGAAGCUAGCAGCCUGGUUAGGAAUCUAAGAUAAUUUGGCGUUUCCAUUCAAGAUAUUAAAAAGUCUGGAGACAGCAAGCUUUCAUCUUCUGUGCCUCAUCCAUAUAGAGUGCUUGGGUUACUUUAUUAGAAUGAGCAACAGUUUAUGGGAGCCAGACAGAAAGACUGUGAUUUACUUCAAUUCUCUCCCAAGGAUCAGUGCAAAAAUUCAUGUGGACGAUUGACUGUUAAAAAACGUUUUAGACAUAUUUUUGUGGUUUGAGUUUGUGUUCAUCUAUAAGAUUGUUUUAGAGUUAAAUGCUUUGAUGAAAGGACCAUAGAUCUUAAGAAAGAAAAGAACAAUAAGCAAAUUGAUCUAAUUCCUCAUUUUCAAAUACCUAAGGUGUUUUUAUUCCUCAUUUCAUGGACACUAUCCAGAGGUUAAAUAUAUCACCUAAAAUUGCAAGCACAAGAAGGCUAGAUUUCUGGCCUUCUGCCUCCCAGGGGAGACCUGUUCCACCUUAGAACAUCUUGUAGAUGAAAAAAAGUAAACCACAAACAUGCUGUGAGU